CUUCAGUCUACAUCAGGAUUUGAAUGACAAUAAAUAUAAAAUAAUUCUUGUGAUAAUUGCUAGGUUCUGGUAUUUUUAGAAAACUAUUUGUAGAAGCAGAGGCAGAGCUGAGAACUUCUUUCCCACAGGCUCCUCGAGACUAAAACUUCUCACACGUUUUAGAAAACAGCAGUAGGAAAUGCACUGUAAGCUUUUUCUCCCCUGCCUCUCUUCUCACGUCUGCUCCUGGUACCUUUGCUUUGACCUUGGUGUGGGCUGCCAUAUUUUAAGUGCCUUGGGUCUACAAUGCCUCCUGUCCUGUUUUCUCAUCUAGGGCUGCCUCUGCCCUAUUGAGCUAUGAGCUCUCAGAAUGCAGUUUGCUGUUUGAUAUGUGAUGCAAGUCCAAAGCCAGAUGCACGGAUGGAAAUGGAUAGUGCCUUGGCCAUGAGUACUCUGUUUUUUGAGGUACCCUGUUCUGCAUUUUCCCAAGGCGUGCUCGCCUCCUGGAGAGUGAAUGCAUUUCCAGAAUCUUCAUCACAUACCCACACAAUGGUCAUCAAAUGGCGUCUGCUGCCUUCACCACGCUGAAUGAAAGGUCUCCACCCCUUCUGCAGGGAGAGGCUGUGGCUGAGAAUGGACCCUAUAUGGCCAAAGCAUGUCCACCGCAGCUCUGCUCAGGACUUGCAUCAAAGACAGACUGAUGGGGAUGCUGUUGUGGCAAGAGGAGAGGACAGGCUUGCCCAAAGGAUGAGGAACUGUGGAGCAGUUCUCAAGGAAACCCCAGUGACCAGACCGAUUCAGCAGAGGUACGAUCGGCAUUACCUUCAGGAUAAGGACAUUGAUAUUUACAGCCAUGUAGUCUCCUCCAACUAUUUUUAGCUGAGGUUGCAUACACCAGAAGCACUUAAGCCAAGAGGGUGCAGGAAUGUUUGGGAUUCUUCCCACAAAUUCCUGCUUUGUCUCUCUCCUUCACCUUGAAAUGAUGCCUAUAAA
rnacentral:lncRNA from 1 species